rnacentral:pre_miRNA from 1 species
AUGUUACUCCCUCCGUUCGGAAUUACUCGUCUAAGAAAUGAAUGUAUCUAGAUGCAUUUUAAUUGUAGAUACAUCCAUUUUUGUGACAAGUAAUUCCGAACGGAGGAAAUAGUUA